AAAAAGGCAGCGCAAUCUUAUUUACAUCCUUCCGUAGCCUUAUGGUUGUAAUCUUUGUGUAAACUGCACAUUCUAGUUAACCGUGAAGCUGGACUUGCCACUGGCGUCGGAUCUAGGGGUGUUGUAGUCUUAUGGGACUGAGCCCUGAGCCUGUGGGGUCUGAUCCUGUCUCCAGGUAGAUAGGGUCACAACCGACAUAAACUUCUGGGACAUGCAAUGUCCUCCAAGGCCGGGAGAAUUGCCUAGGGACGUUGACAAACACAGAUUGGAUUUAGUGACAUCCGUGACCCUCCUGCGGAGACAGACUGAUCUUCAGAGUCCUGGGUCGCUGGUGGUCCUCUACGUUUCCACAGCCGACACUGGGUCAAACUGGUCCUUCGGUGCCACCAGCGAUGAUUUUAUUUAUUUGCGAGAGAGAGAAUGAGAGACAGAGAGCAUGAGAAAGAGGAGGAUCA